UGGGGAAUAUUGCACAAUGGGCGAAAGCCUGAUGCAGCGACGCCGCGUGAGGGAUGACGGCCUUCGGGUUGUAAACCUCUUUCAGUAGGGACGAAGCGCAAGUGACGGUACCUGCAGAAGAAGCACCGGCUAACUACGUGCCAGCAGCCGCGGUAAUACGUAGGGUGCGAGCGUUGUCCGGAAUUACUGGGCGUAAAGAGCUCGUAGGCGGUUUGUCACGUCGUCUGUGAAAUCCUAGGGCUUAACCCUGGACGUGCAGGCGAUACGGGCUGACUUGAGUACUACAGGGGAGACUGGAAUUUCUGGUGUAGCGGUGGAAUGCACAGAUAUCAGGAAGAACACCGAUGGCGAAAGCAGGUCUCUGGGUAGUAACUGACGCUGAGGAGCGAAAGCAUGGGUAGCGAACAGG
rnacentral:rRNA from 1 species